UGGUUCUAGCAUCGAUGAAGAACGCAGCGAAAUGCGAUAAGUAAUGUGAAUUGCAGAAUUCAGUGAAUCAUCGAAUCUUUGAACGCACAUUGCGCCCCCUGGUAGCCCGGGGGGCAUGCCUGUCCGAGCGCGAGUGGAAGGAACAGAUCGAGCUCAUGGCUGAGGAAUUGGGCCGCGGUCCCGCGGCGGACCGGCCCCGAACCCAUCGGCGGCGCCUGGGGGCCUCGAGCGUAGUAGAUGCUAUCCGCUCAGGGGCCCCGUCGGCGCCCGCUUCUAGAGACCAAUGCGUGUUUCGCCUCGGAUCAGGUAGGGAUACCCGCUGA
rnacentral:misc_RNA from 1 species